GAAAUAUCCUAUGAUGACAUGGUCAUUCAUUAAGUUUUCACUUGAGGAUACAAUCAUGUUUGUGUAUUGAUCAUAUACAAAUAGGAAAAUGGGAAUCAUCAUCAAUGACUUUAGAAAGAACAUUGUUUUUCAACAAAAUGAAGAAUCUUGUUGAUGGUCAUGAUCCAUGUCACACCAUGAGACUUUGUUGAUAUUGCCAGAAGAGAAAAUGUGAAGAUCUUUUUCAACAUUACUGCUUAAGGCCAUGUUGAAAUACCUGAUCUAUGUUAUUGAGGGGAUCUACGUUGAUAUCCCUGAUCUGUACUACAACCUGAAAAUAAGUUGAUGCAACAGAUAAAUGCUCAAAACAACCAACCAAGGAUGUUGAUGUCAAUAUUUCUUGAUGUAAAUGGAGUAUCUGUUAAUAUCCAUGAUCCCUGACAACUGAGUCCAUGUUGAACUUCAUGUUCAAUAGUGCCUCAUGGGACUAUGCACAUGCUUUCUAUGUAUGAGAAGUGUGCUGCCAGCAGGAAUCAUUUUGAUGUCAAGAUGCAUGCAGCCAGAAGAGAAGAGGUUUCUAUAAAUGGUAAUACCUCCUCUCUGAAACGAUCUAGAAGGCCAAGACUCUUCCUGGAAAAGGAGACCACGAUAUAUCCCAGAUCAUUGUUGCCAGAGUAAACCAUAAUAUGAGUGAUCCCUACUGCCACUAUGGACUAGAUUGAUGAUAUCAGUGAUACCAACUGCCAUGGGAAGGAUAUUGACAUAAUUUCUUCAUGCUGACACUGGUAACUAUAAUAAGAUCCACAGUCACUCAAUGUUGUCUUUGAAGAGCUCAGAUAUGUUUGUGAUCCCUCAAACAGAAGAUUCGAGUGUGAAUUUCAUGAACAGUACUAUGGCAUAUGUUCAUAAGGUAAGUGAUCUUUCUUGCUUCAGCAGAUACUUUUGGUGCCAGUGAUUCUACCUCAAACCUGGAGAUACGUUGAUUCCAGAACUUCAAGGUGUGAUCAGCAAUGGAGUCCAUUGUUCCUAUUGUUAAUGGAGACCCUGAUAAUGGCCAUGAUCUGUAUGAAUGCUUGAGAAUCUGCUGAAUUUUAAGGUCCAUGCUGAUGCCUGAGGUCAUAUUGAGGUAAGUAUUCCGAGUAAGCAGAGAAGAUGAGUCUAAUAUCUGAGGUCCUACCUACCAAAGAAAAUACUCGAUGUCCCGAAUUCGUGCAAAGAGCCUCAGCUCUAUACAAUAUACAAUAUACAAUAAGGUGCUUACUGCGACCAGAGGAUGUAGUGAGCCACUGAUCUAAUAUGCCACUAGAGAUGAGAAUGAACAUAAUGACUUCUUUUCUUUAAAUCAGUGCUGAUGUCACUGAAGUAUACCAGUCAGCAGAUACCAUUAUAUUACCCAAAAUCCACACUGCCAGAGGCAACUUUCUUUUCAGUGAUCUCUGCUGCCACUGAGCAACACGUUAAGGUGAUUAAUCCAAUAUGGACAACAUUGAUGAAAUCAGUGAUUUCAGCUGCAACGGUUAAGGUGUUGACAUCACUCAUCCAUGCUGCUACUGGUAACCAUGUUGAGUUCCACAGUCAGUGUGGUCUUUGAAGAGUUCUGUGAUGUCUGUUAUACCUCAGUCAGAGGAGUCUACUGUGAAGUUCAUGGUCAUACUGCUGCCUUAGAUUAUAAGGAGAUAAGUGAUCUGUGAUGCUUACUGGGGUGCCUUUGACACCUGUGAUCCUACCCUGACCCUGAAGAUAUAUUGAUGCCAGUGCUGCCUGCUGUGACAAGCAAUCAUGGUGGAGUCCAUUUUUCCUAUGGAUGAUGGAGACACUAAUGAGGUCCUUGAUCUGUAUUUGCUGCCAGAGAACCUGCUGAAGGAUUCGCAGUUCCAUACUGAUGCCUGAGAUCAUAUUGAGGUAAGUGUUUUUUUCUGUGCAGGCCGUGAAGAUCAGACUGAUGUCUGAGAUCCUAUCUGCCACUGUAAUUUCUCUUGAUGUCGCUGAUGCAUGGAUGUAUCCUGAGCUGAAGAACAUGUAAUAUAUACGAACCUAAUUGCCAUCAGAAGAGCUAGUGAUGUCAAUGGUCUACCAUCCACUGGAGAAGAGAUGUAUAAUCAUAAUUUCUUCUGCCCUGUGACUAAAUGUUAAUGUCACUGAAGUUUAUUUAGCAACAGAUCCCACGGUUUUGUUCACAACCCCUGCAGUCAGAGGCAAACUUGUUGUUAGUGACCUCUGCUGCCGUUGGGAAUCAUGUUAAUGUGAUUAAUCAAAUUGGACUAUAUCGAUGAUAUGAGUGAUUCCAACCUCCAAAGGAAAUGUGUUGAUGUCACUAAUCUAAGCUGCUGCUGGUAACCCUGCUGAGAUCCACAGUCAGUGUUGUCGUCGAAUAGCUCUGUGAUGUUUGCAGUUCCUCAUCAAGAAGACUACACUGUCAAGUUCUUGGUCAGUACUGCUGCCAAAGAUCAUCAGAAGGAGGUAAGUGAUCUCUGCACUUUUUCAGAUGCUUUUGAUGCCUGCGAUACUACCUAGAACAUGAAGAUAUGUUGAUGCCAGUGCUACAAGCUAGUUUUUUGAAACCACGAAAGGGUCCAUUAUUCCUAUUGCUGAUGGAGAAUUUGGUGAUCAUCAUGAUCUGUUCUAUUGCUUGUGAAAUCUAGUGAAUUUACAGUUCUAUAUAAUGUCAAUAUCAUAUUGAGAUAACUAUUCUGAGCUGUAACUGAAGAUCAGAUUGAUGUCUAAGAUCCUACCUGCCAGAGGAAAUACUGUGAAUGUCUCAGAUGAAUGUAUGCAGGCCACUCUGUGGACCAUGUAAUAUACAGGUUUCUAACUGCCACAAGAAUAGCUAGUGAUGCCAAAAAUCUAUCCUGUCAGUAGUGAAGAUGUCUAUGAUCAUCAUUACUUCUGCCCUCUGACGCAAUGCCAAUGUCACUCAAAGAUUCCUGGCAAAAAGUCCCCGUAUUAUUGCUUAAGAGUGAUACUGCCCAAACAACCAUGUCAGUGUUCUAUACUGCCCUGGGGACACUGUCAAUAUCACCAAACCAAAAUGCCUGCAGAAACUAUGAUGAUGUCAAACAUUAAUGCUGCUGCCAUUAGCCAGGUUGAAAGUCAUAGCCUUUGUUACAUUUGAAAAGAUUUUUAACGCCAAAUAUCCCUGAAGCCAGCUGAGUCUAUGGAGAUGUUCAAUGUCAACAAUAUCCGAAGGACAUGUGGAUUAUAUGUUAUAUGUUAUAUUGAGGUCACCUUGGAUACCCAUGUUACUUCUGACCCCUGCUAUCUCUUGGGACGAUAUUAAUAUGAAUGUCUCCACAUGCCAAUGCAAACAUUACUGAUGCCAGUUUUAUAUGUUUCUGCCAAAAGAAACCUUGCAUUUAUAAGAAGUGUGCUGCAAGAUGUAACCAUUUUGAUGUCAAGGUGAAUGAAACCAAGAGAAGAGAGUUUUCUAGAAAUGGUCUCAUCUGCACUCUGAAACUAUCUAGAAUUCUAAGAUGCUUCCCGGCCAAAUAAACCAUGUUAUAUCGUAGAACACUUUUGCCAGAGUAAACCACAAUAUCAAUGAUCCCUACUGCCACUAUGGCCUAGAUUGAUGACAUCAGUGAUACCAACUGCCAUGGGAAGGAUAUUAGCAUCAUUCCUUCAUGCUGACACUAGUAAUCACAUUAAUAUACACAGUCAGUAUUGUUUUUGAAGAGCUCAGGGAUGUUUGUGAUUUCUAAAAGAGAAGAGUCUGUUGUAAACUUCACUUCAUGAUCAGUACUGUGACCCAAGAUCAUAAUGAGGCAAGUGAUCUGUCCUAUUUAUGGAGAUGAUUUUGAUCCCUGUGAUCCUACCUCGAACCUGCAGAUAUUUGAGUCCAACACGGCAAGCUUUGACCAGCAAUCAUGAUGGAUUCCACUGCUCCUAUUACUAAUGGAGACCAUGAUUAUAGCCAUGAUCUGUAUAGAUGCUUGAGAAUCUGCUGAAUUACAACAUCCAUACUGAGGCCAAGGAUAUAUUGAGGUAAGUAUUCUGAGCAGGCACAGGAGGUGAGUCUGAUAUCUGAGAUCGUACAUACCACCGAAAAUUCUCUUGUUGUGUUAGACUCAGCUAUUGAACAUGAAGUAUAUAAGAUACUAAUGCCACCAGAGGAUCUAAUGCUGUCAAUGAUCUAGUCUGCCACUGGAGACGAGAAUGAACAUAAUAACUUUUGUUCUCUGACUCAAUGCUGAUAUCACUGAUGUUUACCUGGCAACAGACUCUAUGGUUUGGCCCAAAAUCUGUGCUGUCAGUGAAAACCUUGUAGUUAAAGAUCCCUGCUACCUUUGGGAAACAUGUUAAUGUGAAUAAUCCCACAUGGAUUAGAUUGAUGAAAUCAGUGAUUCCAGCUGCCACAGUUAAGAUGUUGACAUCACUCAUCCGUGCUGCUACUGGUACCCAUGUUGAGUUCCACAGUCAGUGUGGUCUUUGAAGAGGUCUGUGAUGUCUGUUAUCCCUCAGCCAGAAGAGUCUACUGUGAAGUUCAUGGUCAUACUGCUGCCUUAGAUUAUAAGGAGAUAAGUGAUCUGUGAUGCUUUCUGGGGUGCCCUUGACACCUGUGAUCCUACCCUGACCCUGAAGAUAUAUUGAUGCCAGUGCUGCCUGCUGUGACAAGCAAUCAUGGUGGAGUCCAUUUUUCCUAUGGAUGAUGGAGACACUAAUGAGGUCCUUGAUCUGUUUUUGCUGCCAGAGAAACUGGUGAAGAAUUCGCAGUUCCAUACUGAUGCCUGCGAUCACAUUGAGGUAAGUGUUUUUUUCUGUGCAGGCCGCGGAGAUCAGACUGAUGUCUGAGAUCCUAUCUGCCGCUGUAAAUUCUCUUGAUGUCGCUGAUGCAUGGAUGUAUCCUGAGCUGAAGAACAUGUAAUGUAUACGAACCUAAUUGCCAUCAGAAGAGCUAGUGAUGUCAAUGGUCUACCAUCCACUGGAGAAGAGAUGUAUAAUCAUAAUUUCUUCUGCCCUGUGACUAAAUGUUAAUGUCACUGAAAAUAUUUAGCAACAGAUCCCACGGUUUUGUACACAACCCCUGCAGUCAGAGGCAAACUUGUUGUUAGUGACCUCUGCUGCCGUUGGGAAUCAUGUUAAUGUGAUUAAUCCAAUUGGACUAUAUCGAUGAUAUGAGUGAUUCCAACCUCCAAGGGAAAUGUGUUGAUGUCACUAAUCUAAGCUGCUGCUGGUAACCCUGCUGAAAUCCACAGUCAGUGUUGUCCUCGAAUAGCUCUGUGAUGUUUGCGGUUCCUCAUCAAGAAGACUACACUGUCAAGUUCUUGGUCAGUACUGCUGCCAAAGAUCAUCAUAAGGAGGUAAGUGAUCUCUGCACUUUUUCAGAUGCUUUUGAUGCCUGCGAUACUACCUAGAACAUGAAGAUAUGUUGAUGCCAGUGCUACAAGCUAGUUUUUUGAAAUCAGGAAAGGGUCCAUUAUUCCUAUUGCUGAUGGAGAAUUUGGUGAUCAUCAUGAUCUGUUCUACUGCUUGUGAAAUCUAGUGAAUUUACCGUUCUAUAUAGAUGUCAAUAUCAUAUUGAGAUGACUAUUCUGAGCUGUCACUGAAGAUCAGAUUGAUGUCUAAGAUCCUACCUGCCAGAGGAAAUACUGUGAAUGUCUCAGAUUAAUGUAUGCAGGCCACUCUGUGGACCAUGUAAUAUACAGGUUUCUAACUGCCACAAGAAGAGCUAGUGAUGCCAAAAAUCUAUCCUGUCAGUAGUGAAGAUGUCUAUGACCAUCAUUACUUCUGCCCUCUGAUGCAAUGCCAAUGUCACUCAAAGAUACCUGGAAAAAAGAACCCGUAUUAUUGCUUAAGAGCGAUGCUGCCCAAACAACCAUGCCAGUGUUCUAUACUGCCCUGGGGACAAUGUCAAUAUCACCAAACCAAAAUGCCUGCAGAAACUAUGAUGAUGUCAAACAUUAAUGCUGCUGCCAUUAGCCAGGUUGAAAGUCAUAGCCUUUGUUACAUUUGGGAAGAUUUUUAAUGCCAAAUAUCCCUGAAGCCAGCUGAGUCUAUGGAGAUGUUCAAUGUCAACAAUAUCCGAAGGAAAUGUGGAGUUAUAUGUUAUAUGUUAUAUUGAGUUCACCUUGGAUACCCAUGUUACUUCUGACCCCUGCUAUCUCUUGGGACGAUAUCAAUAUGAAUGUCUCCACAUGCCAAUGCAAUCAUUACUGAUGCCAGUUUUAUAUGUUUCUGCCAAAAGAAACCUUGCAUUUAUAAGAAGUGUGCUGCAAGAUGUAACCAUUUUGAUGUGAAGGUGAAUGAAACCAAGAGAAGAGAGUUUUCUAGAAAUGGUCUCAUCUGCACUCUGAAACUAUCUAGAAUUCUAAGAUGCUUCCCGGCCAAAUAAACCAUGUUAUAUCGUAGAACACUUUUGCCAGAGUAAACCACAAUAUCAAUGAUCCCUACUGCCACUAUGGACUAGAUUGAUGACAUCAGUGAUACCAACUGCCAUGGGAAGAAUAUUAACAUCAUUCUUUCAUGCUGACACUAGUAAUCACAUUAAUAUCCACAGUCAAUAUUGUUUUUGAAGAGCUCAGGGAUGUUUGUGAUUUCUAAAAGAGAAGAGUAUGUUGUGAACUUCAGUUCAUGAUCAGUACUGUGACCCAAGGUCAUAAUGAGGCAAGUGCUCUGUCCUAUUUAUGGAGAUGAUUUUAAUCCCUGUGAUCCUACCUCGAACCUGCAGAUAUUAGAGUCCAACACUGCAAGCUUUGACCAGCAAUCAUGAUGGAUUCCACUGCUCCUAUUACUAAUGGAGACCAUGAUUAUAGCCAAGAUCUGUAUAGAUGCUUGAGAAUCUGCUGAAUUACAACAUCCAUACUGAGGCCAAGGAUAUAUUGAGGUAAGUAUUCUGAGCAGGCACAGGAGGUGAGUCUGAUAUCUGAGAUCCUACGUACCACGGAAAAUUCUCUUGAUGUCUUUGACUCAGCUAUUGAACAUGAAGUAUAUAAGAUACUAAUGCCACCAGAGGAUCUAAUGCUGUCACUGAUCUAGUCUGCCACUGGAGACAAGAAUGUACAUAAUAAAUUUUGUUCUCUGAUUCAAUGCUGAUAUCACUGAAGUUUACCUGGCAACAGACUCUAUGGUUUGGCCCAAAAUCUGUGCUGUCAGUGACAACCUUCUUGUUAAAGAUCCCUGCUACCUUUGGGAAACAUGUUAAUGUGAAUAAUCCCACAUGGAUUAGAUUGAUGAAAUCAGUGAUUCCAGCUGCCACAGUUAAGAUGUUGACAUCACUCAUCCGUGCUGCUACUGGUAACCAUGUUGAGUUCCACAGUCAGUGUGAUCUUUGAAGAGUUCUGUGAUGUCUGUUAUCCCUCAGCCAGAGGAGUCUACUGUGAAGUUCAUGGUCAUAGUGCUGCCUUAGAUUAUAAGGAGAUAAGUGAUCUGUGAUGGGGUGCCCUUGACACCUGUGAUCCUACCCUGACCCUGAAGAUAUAUUGAUGCCAGUGCUGCCUGCUGUGACCAGCAAUCAUGAUGGAGUCCAUUUUUCCUAUGGAUGAUGGAGACACUAAUGAGGUCCUUGAUCUGUAUUUGCUGCCAGAGAACCUGCUGAAGGAUUCGCAGUUUCAUACUGAUGCCUGAGAUCAUAUUGAGGUAAGUGUUUUUUUCUGUGCAGGCCUCGGAGAUCAGACUGAUGUCUGAGAUCCUAUCUGCCUCUGUAAUUUCUCUUCAUGUCCCUGAUGCAUGGAUGUAUCCUGAGCUGAAGAACAUGUAAUGUGUACGAACCUAAUUGCCAUCAGAAGAGCUAGUGAUGUCAAUGGUCUACCGUCCACUGGAGAAGAGAUGUAUAAUCAUAAUUUCUUCUGCCCUGUGACUAAAUGUUAGUGUCACCGAAGUUUAUUUAGCAACAGAUCCCACGGUUUUGUUCACAAUCCCUGCAGUCAGAGGCAAACUUGUUGUUAGUGACCUCUGCUGCCGUUGGGAAUCAUGUUAAUUUGAUUAAUCCAUUUGGACUAUAUCGAUGAUAUGAGUGAUUCCAACCUCCGAGGGAAAUGUGUUGAUGUCACUAAUCUAAGCUGCUGCUGGUAACCCUGCUGAGAUCCACAGUCAGUGUUGUCGUCGAAUAGCUCUGUGAUGUUUGCGGUUCCUCAUCAAGAAGACUACACUGUCAAGUUCUUGGUCAGUACUGCUGCCAAAGAUCAUCAUAAGGAGGUAAGUGAUCUCUGCACUUUUUCAGAUGCUUUUGAUGCCUGUGAUCCUACCUAGAACAUGAAGAUAUGUUGAUGCCAGUGCUGCAAGCUAGUUUUUUGAAACCAGGAAAGGGUCCAUUAUUCCUAUUGCUGAUGGAGAAUUUGGUGAUCAUCAUGAUCUGUGCUGUUGCUUUUGAAAUCUAGUGAAUUUACAGUUCUAUAUAGAUGUCAAUAUCAUAUUGAGAUAACUAUUCUGAGCUGUCACUGAAGAUCAGAUUGAUGUCUAAGAUCCUACCUGCCAGAGGAAAUACUGUGAAUGUCUCAGAUUAAUGUAUGCAGGCCACUCUGUGGACCAUGUAAUAUACAGGUUUCUAACUGCCACAAGAAGAGCUAGUGAUGCCAAAAAUCUAUCCGGUCAGUAGUGAAGAUGUCUAUGACCAUCAUUACUUCUGUCCUCUGACGCAAUGCCAAUGUCACUCAAAGAUACUUGGCAAAAAGUCCCCGUAUUAUUGCUUAAGAGUGAUGCUGCCGAAACAACCAUGUCAGUGUUCUAUACUGCCAUGGGGACAAUGUCAAUAUCACCAAACCAAAAUGCCUGCAGAAACUAUGGUGAUGUCAAACAUUAAUGCUGCUGCCAUUAGCCAUGUUGAAAGUCAUAGCCUUUGUUACAUUUGAAAAGAUUUUUAAUGCCAAAUAUCCCUGAAGCCAGCUGAGUCUAUGGUGAUGUUCAAUGUCAACAAUAUCCGAAGGACAUGUGGAGUUUUAUGUUAUAUGUUAUAUUGAGGUCACCUUGGAUACCCAUGUUACUUCUGGCCCCUGCUAUCUCUUGGGACGAUAUUAAUAUGAAUGUCUCCACAUGCCAAUGCAAUCAUUACUGAUGCCAGUUUUAUAUGUUUCUGCCAAAAGAAACCUUGCAUUUAUAAGAAGUGUGCUGCAAGAUGUAACCAUUUUGAUGUCAAGGUGAAUGAAACCAAGAGAGGAGAGUUUUCUAGAAAUGGUCUCAUCUGCACUCUGAAACUAUCUACAAUUCUAAGAUGCUUCCCGCCAAAUAAACCAUGUUAUAUCGUAGAACACUUUGGCCAGAGUAAACCACAAUAUCAAUGAUCCCUACUGCCACUAUGGACUUGAUUGAUGACAUCAGUGAUACCAAUUGCCAUUGGAAGGAUAUUAACAUCAUUCCUUCAUGCUGACACUAGUAAUCACAUUAAUAUCCACAGUCAGUAUUGUUUUGAAGAGCUCAGGGAUGUUUGUGAUUUCUCAAAAAGAAGAGUCUGUUGUGAACUUCAAUUCAUGAUCAGUACUGUGACCCAAGGUCAUAAUGAGGCAAGUGUUCUGUCCUAUUUAUGGAGAUGAUUUUGAUCCCUGUGAUCCUACCUCGAACCUGCAGAUAUUUGCGUCCAACACUGCAAGCUUUGAGCAGCAAUCAUGAUGGAUUCCACUGCUCCUAUUACUAAUGGAGACCAUGAUUAUAGCCAUGAUCUGUAUAGAUGCUUGAGAAUCUGCUGAAUUACAACAUCCAUACUGAGGCCAAGGAUAUAUUGAGGUAAGUAUUCUGAGCAGGCACAGGAGGUGACUCUGAUAUCUGAGAUCCUACGUACCACCAAAAAUUCUCUAGAUGUCUCUGACUCAGCUAUUGAACAUGAAGUAUAUAAGAUACUAAUGCCACCAGAGUAUCUAAUGCUGUCAAUGAUCUAGUCUGCCACUGGAGAUGAGAAUGAACAUAAUAACUUUUGUUCUCUGAUUCAAUGCUGAUAUCACUGAAGUUUACCUGGCAACAGACUCUAUGGUUUGGCCCAAAAUCUGUGCUGUCAGUGAAAACCUUGUAGUUAAAGAUCCCUGCUACCUUUGGGAAACAUGUUAAUGUGAAUAAUCCCACAUGGAUUAGAUUGAUGAAAUCAGUGAUUCCAGCUGCCACAGUUAAGAUGUUGACAUCACUAAUCCGUGCUGCUACUGGUACCCAUGUUGAGUUCCACAGUCAGUGUGGUCUUUGAAGAGGUCUGUGAUGUCUGUUAUCCCUCAGCCAGAAGAGUCUACUGUGAAGUUCAUGGUCAUACUGCUGCCUUAGAUUAUAAGGAGAUAAGUGAUCUGUGAUGCUUUCUGGGGUGCCCUUGACACCUGUGAUCCUACCCUGACCCUGAAGAUAUAUUGAUGCCAGUGCUGCCUGCUGUGACAAGCAAUCAUGGUGGAGUCCAUUUUUCCUAUGGAUGAUGGAGACACUAAUGAGGUCCUUGAUCUGUUUUUGCUGCCAGAGAAACUGGUGAAGAAUUCGCAGUUCCAUACUGAUGCCUGCGAUCACAUUGAGGUAAGUGUUUUUUUCUGUGCAGGCCGCGGAGAUCAGACUGAUGUCUGAGAUCCUAUCUGCCACUGUAAAUUCUCUUGAUGUCGCUGAUGCAUGGAUGUAUCCUGAGCUGAAGAACAUGUAAUGUGUACGAACCUAAUUGCCAUCAGAAGAGCUAGUGAUGUCAAUGGUCUACCAUCCACUGGAGAAGAGAUGUAUAAUCAUAAUUUCUUCUGCCCUGUGACUAAAUGUUAAUGUCACUGAAGUUUAUUUAGCAACAGAUCCCACGGUUUUGUUCACAACCCCUGCAGUCAGAGGCAAACUUGUUGUUAGUGACCUCUGUUGCCGUUGGGAAUCAUGUUAAUGUGAUUAAUCCAAUUGGACUAUAUCGAUGAUAUGAGUGAUUCCAACCUCCAAGGGAAAUGUGUUGAUGUCACUAAUCUAAGCUGCUGCUGGUAACCCUGCUGAAAUCCACAGUCAGUGUUGUCCUCGAAUAGCUCUGUGAUGUUUGCGGUUCCUCAUCAAGAAGACUACACUGUCAAGUUCUUUGUCAGUACUGCUGCCAAAGAUCAUCAUAAGGAGGUAAGUGAUCUCUGCACUUUUUCAGAUGCUUUUGAUGCCUGCGAUACUACCUAGAACAUGAAGAUAUGUUGAUGCCAGUGCUACAAGCUAGUUUUUUGAAAUCAGGAAAGGGUCCAUUAUUCCUAUUGCUGAUGGAGAAUUUGGUGAUCAUCAUGAUCUGUUCUAUUGCUUGUGAAAUCUAGUGAAUUUACAGUUCUAUAUAGAUGUCAAUAUCAUAUUGAGAUAACUAUUCUGAGCUGUCACUGAAGAUCAGAUUGAUGUCUAAGAUCCUACCUGCCAGAGGAAAUACUGUGAAUGUCUCAUAUUAAUGUAUGCAGGCCACUCUGUGGACCAUGUAAUAUACAGGUUUCUAACUGCCACAAGAAGAGCUAGUGAUGCCAAAAAUCUAUCCGGUCAGUAGUGAAGAUGUCUAUGACCAUCAUUACUUCUGUCCUCUGACGCAAUGCCAAUGUCACUCAAAGAUACUUGGCAAAAAGUCCCCGUAUUAUUGCUUAAGAGUGAUGCUGCCGAAACAACCAUGUCAGUGUUCUAUACUGCCAUGGGGACAAUGUCAAUAUCACCAAACCAAAAUGCCUGCAGAAACUAUGGUGAUGUCAAACAUUAAUGCUGCUGCCAUUAGCCAUGUUGAAAGUCAUAGCCUUUGUUACAUUUGAAAAGAUUUUUAAUGCCAAAUAUCCCUGAAGCCAGCUGAGUCUAUGGUGAUGUUCAAUGUCAACAAUAUCCGAAGGACAUGUGGAGUAUUAUGUUAUAUGUUAUAUUGAGGUCACCUUGGAUACCCAUGUUACUUCUGGCCCCUGCUAUCUCUUGGGACGAUAUUAAUAUGAAUGUCUCCACAUGCCAAUGCAAUCAUUACUGAUGCCAGUUUUAUAUGUUUCUGCCAAAAGAAACCUUGCAUUUAUAAGAAGUGUGCUGCAAGAUGUAACCAUUUUGAUGUCAAGGUGAAUGAAACCAAGAGAAGAGAGUUUUCUAGAAAUGGUCUCAUCUGCACUCUGAAACUAUCUAGAAUUCUAAGAUGCUUCCCGGCCAAAUAAACCAUGUUAUAUCGUAGAACACUUUUGCCAGAGUAAACCACAAUAUCAAUGAUCCCUACUGCCACUAUGGACUAGAUUGAUGACAUCAGUGAUACCAACUGCCAUGGGAAGGAUAUUAGCAUCAUUCCUUCAUGCUGACACUAGUAAUCACAUUAAUAUACACAGUCAGUAUUGUUUUUGAAGAGCUCAGGGAUGUUUGUGAUUUCUAAAAUAGAAGAGUCUGUUGUGAACUUCACUUCAUGAUCAGUACUGUGACCCAAGAUCAUAAUGAGGCAAGUGAUCUGUCCUAUUUAUGGAGAUGAUUUUGAUCCCUGUGAUCCUACCUCGAACCUGCAGAUAUUUGAGUCCAACACGGCAAGGUUUGACCAGCAAUCAUGAUGGAUUCCACUGCUCCUAUUACUAAUGGAGACCAUGAUUAUAGCCAUGAUCUGUAUAGAUGCUUGAGAAUCUGCUGAAUUACAACAUCCAUACUGAGGCCAAGGAUAUAUUGAGGUAAGUAUUCUGAGCAGGCACAGGAGGUGAGUCUGAUAUCUGAGAUCGUACAUACCACCGAAAAUUCUCUUGUUGUGUUAGACUCAGCUAUUGAACAUGAAGUAUAUAAGAUACUAAUGCCACCAGAGGAUCUAAUGCUGUCAAUGAUCUAGUCUGCCACUGGAGACGAGAAUGAACAUAAUAACUUUUGUUCUCUGACUCAAUGCUGAUAUCACUGAAGUUUACCUGGCAACAGACUCUAUGGUUUGGCCCAAAAUCUGUGCUGUCAGUGAAAACCUUGUAGUUAAAGAUCCCUGCUAACUUUGGGAAACAUGUUAAUGUGAAUAAUCCCACAUGGAUUAGAUUGAUGAAAUCAGUGAUUCCAGCUGCCACAGUUAAGAUGUUGACAUCACUCAUCCGUGCUGCUACUGGUACCCAUGUUGAGUUCCACAGUCAGUGUGGUCUUUGAAGAGGUCUGUGAUGUCUGUUAUCCCUCAGCCAGAAAAGUCUACUGUGAAGUUCAUGGUCAUACUGCUGCCUUAGAUUAUAAGGAGAUAAGUGAUCUGUGAUGCUUUCUGGGGUGCCCUUGACACCUGUGAUCCUACCCUGACCCUGAAGAUAUAUUGAUGCCAGUGCUGCCUGCUGUGACAAGCAAUCAUGGUGGAGUCCAUUUUUCCUAUGGAUGAUGGAGACACUAAUGAGGUCCUUGAUCUGUUUUUGCUGCCAGAGAAACUGGUGAAGAAUUCGCAGUUCCAUACUGAUGCCUGCGAUCACAUUGAGGUAAGUGUUUUUUUCUGUGCAGGCCGCGGAGAUCAGACUGAUGUCUGAGAUCCUAUCUGCCACUGUAAAUUCUCUUGAUGUCGCUGAUGCAUGGAUGUAUCCUGAGCUGAAGAACAUGUAAUGUGUACGAACCUAAUUGCCAUCAGAAGAGCUAGUGAUGUCAAUGGUCUACCAUCCACUGGAGAAGAGAUGUAUAAUCAUAAUUUCUUCUGCCCUGUGACUAUAUGUUAAUGUCACUGAAAAUAUUUAGCAACAGAUCCCACGGUUUUGUACACAACCCCUGUAGUCAGAGGCAAACUUGUUGUUAGUGACCUCUGCUGCCGUUGGGAAUCAUGUUAAUGUGAUUAAUCAAAUUGGACUAUAUCGAUGAUAUGAGUGAUUCCAACCUCCAAGGGAAAUGUGUUGAUGUCACUAAUCUAAGCUGCUGCUGGUAACCCUGCUGAAAUCCACAGUCAGUGUUGUCCUCGAAUAGCUCUGUGAUGUUUGCGGUUCCUCAUCAAGAAGACUACACUGUCAAGUUCUUGGUCAGUACUGAUGCCAAAGAUCAUCAUAAGGAGGUAAGUGAUCUCUGCACUUUUUCAGAUGCUUUUGAUGCCUGCGAUACUACCUAGAACAUGAAGAUAUGUUGAUGCCAGUGCUACAAGCUAGUUUUUUGAAAUCAGGAAAGGGUCCAUUAUUCCUAUUGCUGAUGGAGAAUUUGGUGAUCAUCAUGAUCUGUUCUACUGCUUGUGAAAUCUAGUGAAUUUACCGUUCUAUAUAGAUGUCAAUAUCAUAUUGAGAUGACUAUUCUGAGCUGUCACUGAAGAUCAGAUUGAUGUCUAUGAUCCUACCUGCCAGAGGAAAUACUGUGAAUGUCUCAGAUUAAUGUAUGCAGGCCACUCUGUGGACCAUGUAAUAUACAGGUUUCUAACUGCCACAAGAAGAGCUAGUGAUGCCAAAAAUCUAUCCUGUCAGUAGUGAAGAUGUCUAUGACCAUCAUUACUUCUGCCCUCUGAUGCAAUGCCAAUGUCACUCAAAGAUACCUGGAAAAAAGAACCCGUAUUAUUGCUUAAGAGCGAUGCUGCCCAAACAACCAUGCCAGUGUUCUAUACUGCCCUGGGGACAAUGUCAAUAUCACCAAACCAAAAUGCCUGCAGAAACUAUGAUGAUGUCAAACAUUAAUGCUGCUGCCAUUAGCCAGGUUGAAAGUCAUAGCCUUUGUUACAUUUGGGAAGAUUUUUAAUGCCAAAUAUCCCUGAAGCCAGCUGAGUCUAUGGAGAUGUUCAAUGUCAACAAUAUCCGAAGGAAAUGUGGAGUUAUAUGUUAUAUGUUAUAUUGAGGUCACCUUGGAUACCCAUGUUACUUCUGACCCCUGCUAUCUCUUGGGACGAUAUCAAUAUGAAUGUCUCCACAUGCCAAUGCAAUCAUUACUGAUGCCAGUUUUAUAUGUUUCUGCCAAAAGAAACCUUGCAUUUAUAAGAAGUGUGCUGCAAGAUGUAACCAUUUUGAUGUGAAGGUGAAUGAAACCAAGAGAAGAGAGUUUUCUAGAAAUGGUCUCAUCUGCACUCUGAAACUAUCUAGAAUUCUAAGAUGCUUCCCGGCCAAAUAAACCAUGUUAUAUCGUAGAACACUUUUGCCAGAGUAAACCACAAUAUCAAUGAUCCCUACUGCCACUAUGGACUAGAUUGAUGACAUCAGUGAUACCAACUGCCAUGGGAAGGAUAUUAACAUCAUUCUUUCAUGCUGACACUAGUAAUCACAUUAAUAUCCACAGUCAAUAUUGUUUUUGAAGAGCUCAGGGAUGUUUGUGAUUUCUAAAAGAGAAGAGUCUGUUGUGAACUUCACUUCAUGAUCAGUACUGUGACCCAAGGUCAUAAUGAGGCAAGUGCUCUGUCCUAUUUAUGGAGAUGAUUUUAAUCCCUGUGAUCCUACCUCGAACCUGCAGAUAUUAGAGUCCAACACUGCAAGCUUUGACCAGCAAUCAUGAUGGAUUCCACUGCUCCUAUUACUAAUGGAGACCAUGAUUAUAGCCAAGAUCUGUAUAGAUGCUUGAGAAUCUGCUGAAUUACAACAUCCAUACUGAGGCCAAGGAUAUAUUGAGGUAAGUAUUCUGAGCAGGCACAGGAGGUGAGUCUGAUAUCUGAGAUCCUACGUACCACGGAAAAUUCUCUUGAUGUCUUUGACUCAGCUAUUGAACAUGAAGUAUAUAAGAUACUAAUGCCACCAGAGGAUCUAAUGCUGUCACUGAUCUAGUCUGCCACUGGAGACAAGAAUGUACAUAAUAAAUUUUGUUCUCUGAUUCAAUGCUGAUAUCACUGAAGUUUACCUGGGAACAGACUCUAUGGUUUGGCCCAAAAUCUGUGCUGUCAGUGACAACCUUCUUGUUAAAGAUCCCUGCUACCUUUGGGAAACAUGUUAAUGUGAAUAAUCCCACAUGGAUUAGAUUGAUGAAAUCAGUGAUUCCAGCUGCCACAGUUAAGAUGUUGACAUCACUCAUCCGUGCUGCUACUGGUAACCAUGUUGAGUUCCACAGUCAGUGUGAUCUUUGAAGAGUUCUGUGAUGUCUGUUAUCCCUCAGCCAGAGGAGUCUACUGUGAAGUUCAUGGUCAUAGUGCUGCCUUAGAAUAUAAGGAGAUAAGUGAUCUGUGAUGGGGUGCCCUUGACACCUGUGAUCCUACCCUGACCCUGAAGAUAUAUUGAUGCCAGUGCUGCCUGCUGUGACCAGCAAUCAUGAUGGAGUCCAUUUUUCCUAUGGAUGAUGGAGACACUAAUGAGGUCCUUGAUCUGUAUUUGCUGCCAGAGAACCUGCUGAAGGAUUCGCAGUUCCAUACUGAUGCCUGAGAUCAUAUUGAGGUAAGUGUUUUUUUCUGUGCAGGCCUCGGAGAUCAGACUGAUGUCUGAGAUCCUAUCUGCCUCUGUAAUUUCUCUUGAUGUCCCUGAUGCAUGGAUGUAUCCUGAGCUGAAGAACAUGUAAUGUGUACGAACCUAAUUGCCAUCAGAAGAGCUAGUGAUGUCAAUGGUCUACCGUCCACUGGAGAAGAGAUGUAUAAUCAUAAUUUCUUCUGCCCUGUGACUAAAUGUUAGUGUCACCGAAGUUUAUUUAGCAACAGAUCCCACGGUUUUGUUCACAAUCCCUGCAGUCAGAGGCAAACUUGUUGUUAGUGACCUCUGCUGCCGUUGGGAAUCAUUUUAAUGUGAUUAAUCCAAUUGGACUAUAUCGAUGAUAUGAGUGAUUCCAACCUCCGAGGGAAAUGUGUUGAUGUCACUAAUCUAAGCUGCUGCUGGUAACCCUGCUGAAAUCCACAGUCAGUGUUGUCGUCGAAUAGCUCUGUGAUGUUUGCGGUUCCUCAUCAAGAAGACUACACUGUCAAGUUCUUGGUCAGUACUGCUGCCAAAGAUCAUCAUAAGGAGGUAAGUGAUCUCUGCAUUUUUUCAGAUGCUUUUGAUGCCUGUGAUCCUACCUAGAACAUGAAGAUAUGUUGAUGCCAGUGCUGCAAGCUAGUUUUUUGAAACCAGGAAAGGGUCCAUUAUUCCUAUUGCUGAUGGAGAAUUUGGUGAUCAUCAUGAUCUGUGCUGUUGCUUUUGAAAUCUAGUGAAUUUACAGUUCUAUAUAGAUGUCAAUAUCAUAUUGAGAUAACUAUUCUGAGCUGUCACUGAAGAUCAGAUUGAUGUCUAAGAUCCUACCUGCCAGAGGAAAUACUGUGAAUGUCUCAUAUUAAUGUAUGCAGGCCACUCUGUGGACCAUGUAAUAUACAGGUUUCUAACUGCCACAAGAAGAGCUAGUGAUGCCAAAAAUCUAUCCGGUCAGUAGUGAAGAUGUCUAUGACCAUCAUUACUUCUGUCCUCUGACGCAAUGCCAAUGUCACUCAAAGAUACUUGGCAAAAAGUCCCCGUAUUAUUGCUUAAGAGUGAUGCUGCCGAAACAACCAUGUCAGUGUUCUAUACUGCCAUGGGGAUAAUGUCAAUAUCACCAAACCAAAAUGCCUGCAGAAACUAUGGUGAUGUCAAACAUUAAUGCUGCUGCCAUUAGCCAUGUUGAAAGUCAUAGCCUUUGUUACAUUUGAAAAGAUUUUUAAUGCCAAAUAUCCCUGAAGCCAGCUGAGUCUAUGGUGAUGUUCAAUGUCAACAAUAUCCGAAGGACAUGUGGAGUAUUAUGUUAUAUGUUAUAUUGAGGUCACCUUGGAUACCCAUGUUACUUCUGGCCCCUGCUAUCUCUUGGGACGAUAUUAAUAUGAAUGUCUCCACAUGCCAAUGCAAUCAUUACUGAUGCCAGUUUUAUAUGUUUCUGCCAAAAGAAACCUUGCAUUUAUAAGAAGUGUGCUGCAAGAUGUAACCAUUUUGAUGUCAAGGUGAAUGAAACCAAGAGAGGAGAGUUUUCUAGAAAUGGUCUCAUCUGCACUCUGAAACUAUCUAGAAUUCUAAGAUGCUUCCCGCCAAAUAAACCAUGUUAUAUCGUAGAAAACUUUUGCCAGAGUAAACCACAAUAUCAAUGAUCCCUACUGCCACUAUGGACUUGAUUGAUGACAUCAGUGAUACCAAUUGCCAUGGGAAGGAUAUUAACAUCAUUCCUUCAUGCUGACACUAGUAAUCACAUUAAUAUCCACAGUCAGUAUUGUUUUGAAGAGCUUAGGGAUGUUUGUGAUUUCUCAAACAGAAGAGUCUGUUGUGAACUUCAAUUCAUGAUCAGUACUGUGACCCAAGGUCAUAAUGAGGCAAGUGCUCUGUCCUAUUUAUGGAGAUGAUUUUGAUCCCUGUGAUCCUACCUCGAACCUGGAGAUAUUUGCGUCCAACACUGCAAGCUUUGAGCAGCAAUCAUGAUGGAUUCCACUGCUCCUAUUACUAAUGGAGACCAUGAUUAUAGCCAUGAUCUGUAUAGAUGCUUGAGAAUCUGCUGAAUUACAACAUCCAUACUGAGGCCAAGGAUAUAUUGAGGUAAGUAUUCUGAGCAGGCACAGGAGGUGACUCUGAUAUCUGAGAUCCUACGUACCACCAAAAAUUCUCUAGAUGUCUCUGACUCAGCUAUUGAACAUGAAGUAUAUAAGAUACUAAUGCCACCAGAGUAUCUAAUGCUGUCAAUGAUCUAGUCUGCCACUGGAGAUGAGAAUGAACAUAAUAACUUUUGUUCUCUGAUUCAAUGCUGAUAUCACUGAAGUUUACCUGGCAACAGACUCUAUGGUUUGGCCCAAAAUCUGUGCUGUCAGUGAAAACCUUGUAGUUAAAGAUCCCUGCUACCUUUGGGAAACAUGUUAAUGUGAAUAAUCCCACAUGGAUUAGAUUGAUGAAAUCAGUGAUUCCAGCUGCCACAGUUAAGAUGUUGACAUCACUCAUCCGUGCUGCUACUGGUACCCAUGUUGAGUUCCACAGUCAGUGUGGUCUUUGAAGAGGUCUGUGAUGUCUGUUAUCCCUCAGCCAGAAGAGUCUACUGUGAAGUUCAUGGUCAUACUGCUGCCUUAGAUUAUAAGGAGAUAAGUGAUCUGUGAUGCUUUCUGGGGUGCCCUUGACACCUGUGAUCCUACCCUGACCCUGAAGAUAUAUUGAUGCCAGUGCUGCCUGCUGUGACAAGCAAUCAUGGUGGAGUCCAUUUUUCCUAUGGAUGAUGGAGACACUAAUGAGGUCCUUGAUCUGUUUUUGCUGCCAGAGAAACUGGUGAAGAAUUCGCAGUUCCAUACUGAUGCCUGCGAUCACAUUGAGGUAAGUGUUUUUUUCUGUGCAGGCCGCGGAGAUCAGACUGAUGUCUGAGAUCCUAUCUGCCGCUGUAAAUUCUCUUGAUGUCGCUGAUGCAUGGAUGUAUCCUGAGCUGAAGAACAUGUAAUGUAUACGAACCUAAUUGCCAUCAGAAGAGCUAGUGAUGUCAAUGGUCUACCAUCCACUGGAGAAGAGAUGUAUAAUCAUAAUUUCUUCUGCCCUGUGACUAAAUGUUAAUGUCACUGAAGUUUAUUUAGCAACAGAUCCCACGGUUUUGUUCACAACCCCUGCAGUCAGAGGCAAACUUGUUGUUAGUGACCUCUGCUGCCGUUGGGAAUCAUGUUAAUGUGAUUAAUCCAAUUGGACUAUAUCGAUGAUAUGAGUGAUUCCAACCUCCAAGGGAAAUGUGUUGAUGUCACUAAUCUAAGCUGCUGCUGGUAACCCUGCUGAAAUCCACAGUCAGUGUUGUCCUCGAAUAGCUCUGUGAUGUUUGCGGUUCCUCAUCAAGAAGACUACACUGUCAAGUUCUUUGUCAGUACUGCUGCCAAAGAUCAUCAUAAGGAGGUAAGUGAUCUCUGCACUUUUUCAGAUGCUUUUGAUGCCUGCGAUACUACCUAGAACAUGAAGAUAUGUUGAUGCCAGUGCUACAAGCUAGUUUUUUGAAAUCAGGAAAGGGUCCAUUAUUCCUAUUGCUGAUGGAGAAUUUGGUGAUCAUCAUGAUCUGUUCUAUUGCUUGUGAAAUCUAGUGAAUUUACAGUUCUAUAUAGAUGUCAAUAUCAUAUUGAGAUAACUAUUCUGAGCUGUCACUGAAGAUCAGAUUGAUGUCUAAGAUCCUACCUGCCAGAGGAAAUACUGUGAAUGUCUCAUAUUAAUGUAUGCAGGCCACUCUGUGGACCAUGUAAUAUACAGGUUUCUAACUGCCACAAGAAGAGCUAGUGAUGCCAAAAAUCUAUCUGGUCAGUAGUGAAGAUGUCUAUGACCAUCAUUACUUCUGUCCUCUGACGCAAUGCCAAUGUCACUCAAAGAUACUUGGCAAAAAGUCCCCGUAUUAUUGCUUAAGAGUGAUGCUGCCGAAACAACCAUGUCAGUGUUCUAUCCUGCCAUGGGGACAAUGUCAAUAUCACCAAACCAAAAUGCCUGCAGAAACUAUGGUGAUGUCAAACAUUAAUGCUGCUGCCAUUAGCCAUGUUGAAAGUCAUAGCCUUUGUUACAUUUGAAAAGAUUUUUAAUGCCAAAUAUCCCUGAAGCCAGCUGAGUCUAUGGUGAUGUUCAAUGUCAACAAUAUCCGAAGGACAUGUGGAGUAUUAUGUUAUAUGUUAUAUUGAGGUCACCUUGGAUACCCAUGUUACUUCUGGCCCCUGCUAUCUCUUGGGACGAUAUUAAUAUGAAUGUCUCCACAUGCCAAUGCAAUCAUUACUGAUGCCAGUUUUAUAUGUUUCUGCCAAAAGAAACCUUGCAUUUAUAAGAAGUGUGCUGCAAGAUGUAACCAUUUUGAUGUCAAGGUGAAUGAAACCAAGAGAGGAGAGUUUUCUAGAAAUGGUCUCAUCUGCACUCUGAAACUAUCUAGAAUACUAAGAUGCUUCCCGGCCAAAUAAACCAUGUUAUAUCGUAGAACACUUUUGCCAGAGUAAACCACAAUAUCAAUGAUCCCUACUGCCACUAUGGACUAGAUUGAUGACAUCAGUGAUACCAACUGCCAUCGGAAGGAUAUUAACAUCAUUCCUUCAUCCUGACACUAGUAAUCACAUUAAUAUCCACAGUCAGUAUUGUUUUUGAAGAGCUUAGGGAUGUUUGUGAUUUCUAAAACAGAAGAGUCUGUUUUGUACUUCACUUCAUGAUCAGUACUGUGACCCAAGGUCAUAAUGAGGCAAGUCCUCUGUCCUAUUUAUGGAGAUGAAUUUGAUCCCUGUGAUCCUACCUCGAACCUGGAGUAUUUGAGUCCAGCACAGCAAGCUUUGACCAGCAAUCAUGAUGGAUUCCACUGCUCCUAUUACUAAUGGAGACCAUAAUUAUAGCCAAGAUCUGUAUAGAUGCUUGAGAAUCUGCUGAAUUACAACAUCCAUACUGAGGCCAAGGAUAUAUUGAGGUAAGUAUUCUGAGCAGGCACAGGAGGUGACUCUGAUAUCUGAGACCCUACAUACCACCGAAAAUUCUCUUGAUGUCUCUGACUGAGCUAUUGAACAUAAGUAUAUAAGAUACUAAUGCCACCAGAGGAUCUAAUGCUGUCAAUGAUCUAGUCUGCCACUGGAGACAAGAAUGUACAUAAUAACUUUUGUUCUCUGACUCAAUGCUGAUAUCACUGAAGUUUACCUGGCAACAGACUCUAUGGUUUGGCCCAAAAUCUGUGCUGUCAGUGACAACCUUCUUGUUAAAGAUCCCGGCUACCUUUGGGACACAUGUUAAUGUGAAUAAUCCCACAUGGAUUAGAUUGAUGAAAUCAGUGAUUCCAGCUGCCAAAGUUAAGAUGUUGACAUCACUCAUCCAUGCUGCUACUGGUAACCAUGUUGAGUUCCACAGUCAGUGUGAUCUUUGAAGAGUUCUGUGAUGUCUGUUAUCCCUCAGCCAGAGGUGUCUACUGUAAAGUUCAUGGUCAUACUGCUGCCUUAGAUUAUAAGGAGAUGUGUGAUCUGUGAUGGGGUGCCCUUGACACCUGUGAUCCUACCCUGACCCUGAAGAUAUAUUGAUGCCAGUGCUGCCUGCUGUGACCAGCAAUCAUGAUGUAGUCCAUUUUUCCUAUGGAUGAUGGAGACACUAAUGAGGUCCUUGAUCUGUAUUUGCUGCCAGAGAACCUGCUGAAGGAUUCGCAGUUCCAUACUGAUGCCUGAGAUCAUAUUGAGGUAAGUGUUUUUUUCUGUGCAGGCCUCGGAGAUCAGACUGAUGUCUGAGAUCCUAUCUGCCACUGUAAUUUCUCUUGAUGUCCCUGAUGCAUGGAUGUAUCCUGAGCUGAAGAACAUGUAAUGUGUACGAACCUAAUUGCCAUCAGAAGAGCUAGUGAUGUCAAUGGUCUACCGUCCACUGGAGAAGAGAUGUAUAAUCAUAAUUUCUUCUGCCCUGUGACUAAAUGUUAGUGUCACUGAAGUUUAUUUAGCAACAGAUCCCACGGUUUUGUUCACAAUCCCUGCAGUCAGAGGCAAACUUGUUGUUAGUGACCUCUGCUGCCGUUGGGAAUCAUGUUAAUGUGAUUAAUCCAAUUGGACUAUAUCGAUGAUAUGAGUGAUUCCAACCUCCGAGGGAAAUGUGUUGAUGUCACUAAUCUAAGCUGCUGCUGGUAACCCUGCUGAGAUCCACAGUCAGUGUUGUCGUCGAAUAGCUCUGUGAUGUUUGCGGUUCCUCAUCAAGAAGACUACACUGUCAAGUUCUUGGUCAGUACUGCUGCCAAAGAUCAUCAUAAGGAGGUAAGUGAUCUCUGCACUUUUUCAGAUGCUUUUGAUGCCUGUGAUCCUACCUAGAACAUGAAGAUAUGUUGAUGCCAGUGCUACAAGCUAGUUUUUUGAAACCAGGAAAGGGUCCAUUAUUCCUAUUGCUGAUGGAGAAUUUGGUGAUCAUCAUGAUCUGUUCUACUGCUUGUGAAAUCUAGUGAAUUUACAGUUCUAUAUAGAUGUCAAUAUCAUAUUGAGAUAACUAUUCUGAGCUGUCACUGAAGAUCAGAUUGAUGUCUAAGAUCCUACCUGCCAGAGGAAAUACUGUGAAUGUCUCAGAUUAAUGUAUGCAGGCCACUCUGUGGACCAUGUAAUAUACAGGUUUCUAACUGCCACAAGAAGAGCUAGUGAUGCCAAAAAUCUAUCCUGUCAGUAGUGAAGAUGUCUAUGACCAUCAUUACUUCUGUCCUCUGAUGCAAUGCCAAUGUCACUCAAAGAUACCUGGCAAAAAGACCCCGUAUUAUUGCUUAAGAGUGAUGCUGCCCAAACAACCAUGUCAGUGUUCUAUACUACCCUGGGGACUAUGUCAAUAUCACCAAACCAAAAUGCCUGCAGAAACUAUGAUGAUGUCAAACAUUAAUGCUGCUGCCAUUAGCCAUGUUGAAAGUCAUAGCCUUUGUUACAUUUGGGAAGAUUUUUAAUGCCAAAUAUCCCUGAAGCCAGCUGAGUCUAUGGUGAUGUUCAAUGUCAACAAUAUCCGAAGGACAUGUGGAGUAUUAUGUUAUAUGUUAUAUUGAGGUCACCUUGGAUACCCAUGUUACUUCUGACCCCUGCUAUCUCUUGGGACGAUAUCAAUAUGAAUGUCUCCACAUGCCAAGGCAAUCAUUACUGAUGCCAGUUUUAUAUGUUUCUGCCAAAAGAAACCUUGCAUUUAUAAGAAGUGUGCUGCAAGAUGUAACCAUUUUGAUGUCAAGGUGAAUGAAACCAAGAGAAGAGAGUUUUCUAGAAAUGGUCUCAUCUGCACUCUGAAACUAUCUAGAAUUCUAAGAUGCUUCCCGGCCAAAUAAACCAUGUUAUAUCGUAGAACACUUUUGCCAGAGUAAACCACAAUAUCAAUGAUCCCUACUGCCACUAUGGACUAGAUUGAUGACAUCAGUGAUACCAACUGCCAUGAGAAGGAUAUUAACAUCAUUCCUUCAUGCUGACACUAGUAAUCACAUUAAUAUCCACAGUCAAUAUUGUUUUUGAAGAGCUCAGGGAUGUUUGUGAUUUCUAAAAGAGAAGAGUCUGUUGUGAACUUCACUUCAUGAUCAGUACUGUGACCCAAGGUCAUAAUGAGGCAAGUCCUCUGUCCUAUUUAUGGAGAUGAAUUUGAUCCCUGUGAUCCUACCUCGAACCUGGAGUAUUUGAGUCCAGCACAGCAAGCUUUGAGCAGCAAUCAUGAUGGAUUCCACUGCUCCUAUUACUAAUGGAGACCAUGAUUAUAGCCAUGAUCUGUAUAGAUGCUUGAGAAUCUGCUGAAUUACAACAUCCAUACUGAGGCCAAGGAUAUAUUGAGUUAAGUAUUCUGAGCAGGCACAGGAGGUGACUCUGAUAUCUGAGACCCUACAUACCACCGAAAAUUCUCUUGAUGUCUCUGACUCAGCUAUUGAACAUGAAGUAUAUAAGAUACUAAUGCCACCAGAGGAUCUAAUGCUGUCAAUGAUCUAGUCUGCCACUGGAGACAAGAAUGUACAUAAUAACUUUUGUUCUCUGACUCAAUGCUGAUAUCACUGAAGUUUACCUGGCAACAGACUCUAUGGUUUGGCCCAAAAUCUGUGCUGUCAGUGACAACCUUCUUGUUAAAGAUCCCUGCUACCUUUGGGAAACAUGUUAAUGUGAAUAAUCCCACAUGGAUAAGAUUGAUGAAAUCAGUGAUUCCAGCUGCCACAGUUAAGAUGUUGACAUCACUCAUCCAUGCUGCUACUGGUAACCAUGUUGAGUUCCACAGUCAGUGUGAUCUUUGAAGAGUUCUGUGAUGUCUGUUAUCCCUCAGCCAGAGGAGUCUACUGUGAAGUUCAUGGUCAUAGUGCUGCCUUAGAUUAUAAGGAGAUAAGUGAUCUGUGAUGGGGUGCCCUUGACACCUGUGAUCCUACCCUGACCCUGAAGAUAUAUUGAUGCCAGUGCUGCCUGCUGUGACCAGCAAUCAUGAUGGCGUCCAUUUUUCCUAUGGAUGAUGGAGACACUAAUGAGGUCCUUGAUCUGUAUUUGCUGCCAGAGAACCUGCUGAAGGAUUCGCAGUUCCAUACUGAUGCCUGAGAUCAUAUUGAGGUAAGUGUUUUUUUUUUCUGUGCAGGCCUCGGAGAUCAGACUGAUGUCUGAGAUCCUAUCUGCCACUGUAAUUUCUCUUGAUGUCCCUGAUGCAUGGAUGUAUCCUGAGCUGAAGAACAUGUAAUGUGUACGAACCUAAUUGCCAUCAGAAGAGCUAGUGAUGUCAAUGGUCUACCGUCCACUGGAGAAGAGAUGUAUAAUCAUAAUUUCUUCUGCCCUGUGACUAAAUGUUAGUGUCACUGAAGUUUAUUUAGCAACAGAUCCCACGGUUUUGUUCACAAUCCCUGCAGUCAGAGGCAAACUUGUUGUUAGUGACCUCUGCUGCCGUUGGGAAUCAUGUUAAUGUGAUUAAUCCAAUUGGACUAUAUCGAUGAUAUGAGUGAUUCCAACCUCCGAGGGAAAUGUGUUGAUGUCACUAAUCUAAGCUGCUGCUGGUAACCCUGCUGAGAUCCACAGUCAGUGUUGUCGUCGAAUAGCUCUGUGAUGUUUGCGGUUCCUCAUCAAGAAGACUACACUGUCAAGUUCUUGGUCAGUACUGCUGCCAAAGAUCAUCAUAAGGAGGUAAGUGAUCUCUGCACUUUUUCAGAUGCUUUUGAUGCCUGUGAUCCUACCUAGAACAUGAAGAUAUGUUGAUGCCAGUGCUGCAAGCUAGUUUUUUGAAACCAGGAAAGGGUCCAUUAUUCCUAUUGCUGAUGGAGAAUUUGGUGAUCAUCAUGAUCUGUUCUAUUGCUUUUGAAAUCUAGUGAAUUUACAGUUCUAUAUAGAUGUCAAUAUCAUAUUGAGAUAACUAUUCUGAGCUGUCACUGAAGAUCAGAUUGAUGUCUAAGAUCCUACCUGCCAGAGGAAAUACUGUGAAUGUCUCAUAUUAAUGUAUGCAGGCCACUCUGUGGACCAUGUAAUAUACAGGUUUCUAACUGCCACAAGAAGAGCUAGUGAUGCCAAAAAUCUAUCCGGUCAGUAGUGAAGAUGUCUAUGACCAUCAUUACUUCUGUCCUCUGACGCAAUGCCAAUGUCACUCAAAGAUACUUGGCAAAAAGUCCCCGUAUUAUUGCUUAAGAGUGAUGCUGCCGAAACAACCAUGUCAGUGUUCUAUACUGCCAUGGGGACAAUGUCAAUAUCACCAAACCAAAAUGCCUGCAGAAGCUAUGGUGAUGUCAAACAUUAAUGCUGCUGCCAUUAGCCAUGUUGAAAGUCAUAGCCUUUGUUACAUUUGAAAAGAUUUUUAAUGCCAAAUAUCCCUGAAGCCAGCUGAGUCUAUGGUGAUGUUCAAUGUCAACAAUAUCCGAAGGACAUGUGGAGUUAUAUGUUAUAUGUUAUAUUGAGGUCACCUUGGAUACCCAUGUUACUUCUGGCCCCUGCUAUCUCUUGGGACGAUAUUAAUAUGAAUGUCUCCACAUGCCAAUGCAAUCAUUACUGAUGCCAGUUUUAUAUGUUUCUGCCAAAAGAAACCUUUCAUUAAUAAGAAGUGUGCUGCAAGAUGUAACCAUUUUGAUGUCAAGGUGAAUGAAACCAAGAGAGGAGAGUUUUCUAGAAAUGGUCUCAUCUGCACUCUGAAACUAUCUAGAAUUCUAAGAUGCUUCCCGCCAAAUAAACCAUGUUAUAUCGUAGAACACUUUUGCCAGAGUAAACCACAAUAUCAAUGAUCCCUACUGCCACUAUGGACUUGAUUGAUGACAUCAGUGAUACCAACUGCCAUGGGAAGGAUAUUAACAUCAUUCCUUCAUGCUGACACUAGUAAUCACAUUAAUAUCCACAGUCAGUAUUGUUUUGAAGAGCUCAGGGAUGUUUGUGAUUUCUCAAACAGAAGAGUCUGUUGUGAACUUCACUUCAUGAUCAGUACUGUGACCCAAGGUCAUAAUGAGGCAAGUGCUCUGUCCUAUUUAUGGAGAUGAUUUUGAUCCCUGUGAUCCUACCUCGAACCUGGAGAUAUUUGCGUCCAACACUGCAAGCUUUGAGCAGCAAUCAUUAUGGAUUCCACUGCUCCUAUUACUAAUGGAGACCAUGAUUAUAGCCAUGAUCUGUAUAGAUGCUUGAGAAUCUGCUGAAUUACAACGUCCAUACUGAGGCCAAGGAUAUAUUGAGGUAAGUAUUCUGAGCAGGCACAGGAGGUGACUCUGAUAUCUGAGAUCCUACGUACCACCAAAAAUUCUCUAGAUGUCUCUGACUCAGCUAUUGAACAUGAAGUAUAUAAGAUACUAAUGCCACCAGAGGAUCUAAUGCUGUCAAUGAUCUAGUCUGCCACUGGAGAUGAGAAUGAACAUAAUAACUUUUGUUCUCUGAUUCAAUGCUGAUAUCACUGAAGUUUACCUGGCAACAGACUCUAUGGUUUGGCCCAAAAUCUGUGCUGUCAGUGACAACAUUGUUGUUAAAGAUCCCUGCUACCUUUGGGAAACAUGUUAAUGUGAAUAAUCCCACAUGGAUUAGAUUGAUGAAAUCAGUGAUUCCAGCUGCCACGGUUAAGAUGUUGACAUCACUCAUCCAUGCUGCUACUGGUAACCAUGUUGAGUUCCAAAGUCAGUGUGGCCUUUGAAGAGUUCUGUGAUGUCUGUUAUCCCUCAGUCAGAAGAGUCUACUGUGAAGGUCAUGGUCUUACUGCUGCCUUAGUUUAUAAGGAGAUAAGUGAUCUGUGAUGCUUACUGUGGUGCCUUUGACACCUGUGAUCCUACCCUGACCGUGAAGAUAUAUUGAUGCCAGUGCUGCCUGCUGUGACUAGCAAUCAUGGUUGGGUCCAUUUUUCCUAUGGAUGAUGGAGACACUAAUGAGGUCCUUGAUCUGUAUUUGCUGCCAGAGAACCUGCUGAAGAAUUUGCAGUUCCAUACUGAUGCCUGAGAUCAUAUUGUGGUAAGUGUUUUUUUCUGAGCAGGCCGCGAAGAUCAGACUGAUGUCUGAGAUCCUAUCUGCCACUGUAAUUUCUUUUGAUGUCCAUUACACAUCUAUGUAUCCCUAGCUGUACAUCAUGUAAUAUAUAAGAUCCUUACUGCCACCAGAAGAGCUAGUAAUGUCAAUAAUGCAUCCUUCCAUUUUUGAGGAGGUGUAUGAACAAAAUUACUUCUGACCUGUGACUCGAUUCUGUUGUUACUGAAGUAUUCCUGGCAACAGAUUCAAUGUUAUUGUCCAAGAAUCAUAUUGCCAGAGGCAACUUUGUUUCAGUGAUCCUGUUUUACUCUUGGUUACAUGUUAAUGUGAUUAAUCCAAUUUGAGUAGAUUGAUUAUAUCUGUGAUUCCAAUUGCCAAAGGUAUUAUAUUGGCAUUUCCCAUUGAAGCUCUAGUUUAAAACCAUGCUGAAGUCCACAGUCAGUGUUAUCUUUGAAGAUUUCUGUGAUGUCUGUUAUCACUCAGCCAGAAGACUCUACUGUGAGGUACAUGGUCAGUACUGCUGCCAAACAUCCUAAUGAGAUAAGUGAUCUCUGCUGCUUUUUGAGAUAGUUUUGAUGCCUGUUAUCCUACCUCGAACCCAAAGAUAUGUUGAUGCCAGUAAUGCAUGCUGUUUCUUGCAAUCAUGAAAGAGUCCAUUAUUCCUGUUUCUGAGAAUUUUGUGAUCACCAUGAUCUAUGCUAUUGCUUGUGAAACCUAGUGAAUCUACAGGUCAUACAGAUGUCUGAGAUCAUAUUGAGGUAUGUAUUCUCAGAUGUCACUGGGAAUCAGAUUGAUACCUGAGGUUCUACCUGCCAUAGGAAAUUCUGUGGAUGUUCCUUCAUGAUUGGUGCAUGUAGUCCCCUCUGUGGAACAGGAAAUGUACAAGAUUUUAAGUGCCACCAGAGGAGCUAGUUAUGUGAAGGAUCUGUCCUGUCACUGAAGAUAUAUAUGACCAUCAUCAUUACUUCUGUUCUCUGACUUGAUGCUAUGUCACACAAACUUAGCUGGCAAUAGACCCCAUGUUAUUUCACAGGAACCUUGCUGAAAGAGGCAACCGUAUUGUCAGUGUUGCAUGCUGCCACUGAUGUAAAUGUCACUAAGCCAAAAUGCCUGUGGAAAUUAUGAUGAUUUUCAUCAUCCACAUUGCUGAUAUUAGCCAUGUUGAAAUCCAUAUUCCCUAUUACUUCUGAGGAGAUUUUUAAUGCCAAGGAUGUAUGAGGCCAGCUAAGUCUAUGGUGAUGUUCAAUGUCAACAAUGCUGCCUAAAGACAUGUGGAGUUACCCGUUCUUAACCAUGUUACAUCGAUGUUAUAUAUAUAGCAGUAAGAGACACCAUUGUAUGUCUCACACAUUGUUACUUCUGCUGGCAGAAGCCAUGAUGUCAGUAAUUCCUGCUUCUUCUUGAGAACACAUUAGCAUGAGUGUCUCCAUGUGCCAAAGGAAUCGUUAUUGAUGCCAGUUUUUCAAGAUACUGCCCAAUGAAACCUUGUAAUUUCUGAGCAAUGAGCUGCCAGGUGUAACAAUUUUGGUGUCAAGGAUACAUCUUACUACUAGAGAUAUGUUUUCCGGGUCAUACUUGCCCUCUCAAACCAUCUGGAAGUCCUGGAUUCCUGGCAACAGACAAUAUGGUAUAUCUUACAUCUCAGUUGCUAUAGUCAUCCAUGAGGUGUCUGGUCUCUACUUCCACUUUGGACCACAUUGAUGACAUAAGUGAUAUCAAGUUCCAAGGGAAUUAUAUUGAUGUCACUCAUCAUGCUGCCAUUAGUAACCAUGUUGAUAUCCACAGUCAGUGUUGUCUCUAAUGAGAUCCAUGAUAUUUAUCAUCCCUCAGCCAGUUCACUGUCUGUCCUGCUCCCUAUGAUCAUUGUGAGGUAAGUGCUGUGUGUUGCUGCUAUUGGAGAAGCAUGUAAUAAAUUAAUUUUACUUGCCACCUGAAGCUGUUAUCAGUUCUGCAUAAUGUGAUCAGAGGUCAUGAUGGAAUUCAUUUUAUCUAUUGCCUAUGGAGCCCCUGUUGAUAUCCAUCAUUUGUGUUGGUACUUAAGAACCUCAUGAAUUCCAAGAUCUACACUGACUCUGGAGGUGAUAUUGAGGUAAGUUUUCUGAGUUGUCACGUCACUGAGAACUGAUUGAUCCCUGAGGUCCUAAUCUGCCACAUGAAACUUUGUUGACAUAUCUAAUGAAUUUAUGUAAUUUCUUUUUCAGAUCAAUUAAUUAAUGUGAUACUUGUUCCUUAGAAAAUACCUAUUUGUGCUAUUGUUCCCAACUACUACUGUAGAAAAGGUCUAUGUCCAUGAAUAUGUCUGCCCUCUGAGUCUACACUGAUAUCAGUGAUAUAUCUGUCAUCAGAUGCCAUACUAGGUGGCAACCAUGCUGCCAAUAGCAAAUAUCAUUUUAAAGAUGUGAUGUAUGUUGCCACUUUGGAGCAAGAUGAUGAUAUCAGUGAUACCAACUGCCAACAGAAAUAUAAUGAUGUCACUCAUCCAUGCUGCUACCUGUAACUCUAUUGAUAUCCAUGCACAUUGCUGCAUCUUAAGAGUUUGGUGAUGUCUGUUAUCCAUGGUGCUGGAAGAGUCUGUCUUGAUUUUCAUGAUCAAUACUUCUCCUUAAGUCAUCUUGACUUAAGUGUACUGUGCUGCAACCAGAGAUGAGUUUCAUGACUGUGACCUGACUUGGAACCUGAAGCAGUGUUGAUGUCAGUGCUGCCUACUGACAUCAAUAAUCAUGAUGGUAAUUAUUGUUCCUAUUAAGAUACUACAAAACACAGGAGUGUAUGGAAAACCUGGUAUGCCUGCAUAAACUCCCUCUUGUUGAAUAUAUUACAUAUAAGAUGUUUACUGCAACCAGAAGAACUACUGAUGUCAAUGAUCCAUCCUGCCAAUGGAGAAGGUGUUGAUGUCAAUAUUCUCUCCUGCCCUCUAAUGCCAGUAAAAUACCCGGAAACAGAUAACAUAAUAUUGUCCAAGAUCCAGACUGCCACCUUGACGUUGGUUGAUCACUGUUGCAAAUCCUCUCAUGUAUAAAAUCCUAACUGCCACCAGAAGAAAUAUUGAUGUACAUGAUUCGACCUGAAAGAGAUGUGUGCUGCCAGCUGUAACAAAUUUGAUGUCAAGGAUCAAUCAUGCAGCUAGUAAAGAGGUUUCGGGCAACGGUCUGACAUGUCCAGUGAAAAUAUGAUGUCAUUGGUAACUCUCUGGUAACAAACACUAUGGUAUAUCCCAGAUUCAUGCUGCCAAAAGCAGCAGGAUGUUAAUGAUCUCUGGUCCUUCUUGGGAGCAGGAUGAUGAUAUCCAUGAUUCUACCUACCAAUGGAAAUAUAUUGAUGUCACUCAACCCUUUGCCAUUGGUAACCAUGUUAACAUCCCAAGUCAGUAUUGACUUUAUAAGGUGCUCAGUGAUGUCUGUGAGCACUAUUGCCAGGAGAGUCUAUGCUGAGGGCUAUAGUGAAUAUUCUUCUUAAGGUAAUUUUGAGUGAAUUGUUCUGAGCUGCCACCUGUGUGAUAUGUGUGAUCCAACUUGCAACCAGAAACUAUAGUGAUAUUAGCUAAACCAGCAAAUAUGAUGGUUUCUGUAGAUCAUAUUGAGAUUCUACCUGUCACAAAAAACUAUAGUGAUUUCCCUGAUGAAUGCAUCCAGUCCUAGAUGUAGAUGAUAUUAUGUACAUGACCCUACUGCCACCUGUAUAAUUAUUGAUGUCAAUGAUCCAACCUGCUAGAGGUAUAUGCUCACACUCUAACCAUUUUUAUGUCAAUGGUCCAUCCUUCCACUAGAGAAGAGGUUUAUGUAUAUGAUCACUUCUACCCUCUUAGUUUAUUCUGAUAUCACUGAUAUAACUGGCAAUAGGCACCAAAGUAUUAUCUAAGAUCCACAGGAGACCUUGUUAGCAUUGAUGUCUCAUGCUACUGGUGAUCACAUUAAUAAUACUGAUCCAGUCUAUGCCAGAAAUUAUGAUGAACCUGAAGCUACAUUGAUAUUUAUUCUGCCUGUUGCCACCAGCAAACUUGAUGGUCUCCAUCAUUUCUAUUACCUGUGGAAAACCUAAUGAUUCUGAAUUCAAUGAUCUAUACUGAUACCCAAGGUCAUGUUGACGUAAGUGUUAUGAUCUGGCACUGGAGUUCAGAGUAAUAUCUGAGGGGCUACCUGUCUCAGAAAACUCUGUUGAUCUCCCUGAUGCACAAAUGCUAUCCGACUGUAGACCAUUUUAUGUAUAAGAUCCUUGCUGCUGCCAGAAAUUCUACUGAUGUCAAAGAUCUUGCCACUAGAAAAGUGGUUUAUCUUCAUAAUCUGUCCUGCCCUCUUAAUCUAUGCUGAUGUCAUUGCUACACCUGGCAACUGAAACCAUGGUAUAUUUCAAGACCCAUACUGCUAUAGUAAAUCUUGUUAUUAGUGAUUCCUUCCACCAGUGGGAACCACGUUAAUAUCACUAACAAUGUCUACUUCCAAUAUCUAUGUGGAUGCCAAUCAUCCAUGCUGUCAGCAGUAACAACAUUAAAACACAUAUUCUGUGUUCCUUUGUAAGAGAUUGUUAAAGUCUAUGAUCAUUGUGGCCCCCAGAAACCAUGCUGAUGUUUGUGACCAAUGCUGCUAUAGGAGUCAUAUUGAGUUAAAUAUUCUGUGAUAAGUUAUUUUAAGGACAAGGGAUAUGUAUUUGGUAACAGACACAAUUGCAUGUCCACAAUUUGUUGUCUCUCAACUGACCUACAGUCUAAAGGAAGGGUGAAGUCAGUUAUGUCUAUUGUUACCAACAAGCAUGAUGAUGUUGUUCAUAGUUUGUAUGGUCUAUGGAGUCCCUGUUGAUGGCCAUAAACUCUGUUGGUACUAAAGUACAUGCUCAAGUCCAAGUUCCAUUCCUCCUUCUGAGGCCAUGUUGAGGUAAGUCUUCUGAGCUAAAGCUGGGGAUCAUAUUGUUUUCUGAGAUACUUCCUGCCCUUAGAAACUAUGUUGAUGUCAGUGAUGCAAGCUCCUGCUCUCAUAGUCUAUUUUGUUUUCUUUUUUUAUUGGAUAUUUAAUGUAUCUACAUUUCAAAUGUUACCACCCUUUUCCCUAUCUCCCAUCCUCCUCCAGCCUCCCUACUCCUAUGAAGAUGCUCCCACUCCCACCCACCCACUCCUACCUCAAAACUCUGGCAUUGUCCUACACUGGGGAAACAAGUUUUCACAGGACCAAGGGCUUCUCCUCCUAUUGCUGUCAGACAAUGCCAUCCUCUGCUACAUAAGCAGCUAGAGCCAUGGGUCCCUUCAUGUGUAGUCUAUUUGAUAUACAAAAGCUCUACUGCCAGGAGCAAAAAUUUUGAUGUCAAUGAUCCAUCCUGCUACUAGGUGAGGUUUAAGUCCAUAAUUUAUCUUGCCCAUUGUACUUAUGCUGAUGUCACCAAUACCUUCUGGCAACAGGCAUAAUAUGCCCAAGUUGAUCCAUGCUUCCACCAGCAACUAUUGUGUCAGAGAUCUCCCGUGACAUAUGAGACUAGGUUGAUAUUGGUGAUCCCAACUUAUACCAGAAAUAAUUGAUGUCACUCAUCCAUGUGGCCACAAGCAACCAUAUUCAAGUAAAUAAUCAUUGAUACCUCUAAACAGCUUGGUGAAGUCUGUAAUCCUGUGACCCCAAGCAUUUAUAGUGAAUUGAAUGUCCAUUAUUGCUCCCUAAGUUCAUUUUGAGGUGUAUGUUUGGUGCUUCCACCUGAGAUGAGUUUGAUGUCUGUCGUAUGACCUGCUAGCUGAAGUUAUGUUGAGGUCACUGAUACAUCAUGGCAAGAGACAACAUAGUAUUUCCAUGAUCAAUGAUGCGACCAGCAGCCAUGAUGUCAUGCUCUUUGGGACCUCAUUAAUAUGAAUAAUUCUGUCACCAGAAUGUAUGCAGAGGUCAGUGAUCUAAGCUUCUUCCAACUGAGACCAUGUUAUAUGUGAGAUGUAUUUUUCUAGGUGUAAACAUCAUGAUUUCGAUGAUCAGUCUUUUCCCUGGAGAAGAGGUUUAUGUCCAUGAUCCUACCUCUACUCUGAAACUAUGUUGAUUUCACUGAUCCCUCUGCCCCCCAUCAGCGAGGGUACGUCUAACAUCCAUAUUCCCAGUUGCAAUCAGAAUUAUAAUAUGUGCUUGUACCAACAACCAUGUUGAUAUACAUCGUGUAUUUUGCCAGUGGACAUUCUUCUAAUUGUCACGAUGCCUAUUGCUCUUGGAGAGCAUGCUGAUGUCCCUGUUCCAUACUGUUGCUUUAGAUCUUUUUUCUGGUAGAUUCUCUGUGUUUUCUCUGGAGGCCAAUUUAAUGUUUGUAAUCCAAACUGCAGUAUGAUGCUGUGCUUAUAUCAGUGAUUCCUGCUGCAUCCAGUAACUGUGAUGAUGUCCAUAGUUCAUUCUGCAUAUGGAAACACUGUGGUUGGCCUUGAUCCAUGUUACUUCUGGAGAUAAUGCUGAAGGCCAUGGUGUAUACUGCUUCAUGAUUUUAUGUUUAGGUAAAUGUUCUGAGCUGUCACUAUGGUACAGAUUGAUGUCUGAGAUCCUAUGUUGAUGCUAGUGAUCUGUAUAUCUACUGCUGUAUAUAUGAGAUAUAUAUAUAUAUAUAUAUAUAUAUAUAUCAGAUUCUUGAUUCUUACUCUGCUAAGCAAAGAUAUUUCUGUCAAUCAUUGAUCCUGACACUGGAAAAGUAGUUUAUAUGCACAGUCUAAGAUGUUCUCUAAACUCAUGCUCAUAUUACUGAUAUUUCCUCAUAACAGAUACCAUAGUUUGUCCACCAUCCAUACUGUCCCAAGCAACUAUGUUUUCAGUGAUUCAAGUUGCUGCUGAGAAUUACAUUCAUAUCAAUGAUUAUACUUUCACCAGUAACUAUAUUGAUGUCAAGGAUCUAUCCUGGAGAAGAGGUUAUGUCCAUGAUCUGACCUGCCCUCGCAAAUUAUGUUCAUGUCUCUGAUUCCCUCCUCCUGCCAGAGAGCAUGAAACAUCAUGACAUUUCUUUGUUCCACAGUUCCAAACACAACUAUGCUGUCAGUGAUUCUUCCUGCUUCUGGGUACCACACAAAUAACAGUGGUCCCAACUUGCCACCAGAAAAUAUGUUGAAUCUUCCAUACUGUCACCACAACCACACUGAAGUCCACAGUUCCUAUUGCCUCCAAAGAGCUUUUCAAUAUCUGUAAUCCCUGUGGCAACCAGAAAUCAUGUUAAAUUUCAUGGUCAAUACUUCUAAUGUCAUGCUAAGCAAUAGACACUAUGAUAUCAUUGUCCAUGCUGCUAUUGGCAACCAUGAUGUCUGUGAUCCCUACUGCCACUGAGUACCAGAUUGAUAUCUCUGAGCCCAGUUGCCUCUAGAAUCUAUUUUGAUGUCACUAAUUCAUGUUGUCACCAGUAACCAUGUUGAAGUCCAUACUCCAAGUUGCCAGAGGUGACCCUGUUGAUGGUUAUGAUCCUUAUUGCUGCCAGAAACUAUGUUAAAGUGCAGGUUCUAUAAUGCUGUCUGAGAUCAUGUUGAGAGACCAUAUUGAAGCAAAUGUUCGAUGCUGAUGCCAGGAACCAGAUUGAUGUCUGUGAUACAACCUGCCAUUGGAAGCUAUGUUAAUGUCAGUGGUUGGUGCAGCUGCUGGAGACCAUGUUAUGUAGAAGACCAUAGCUAUGACCAGCAAUCUGGUUGACCUCAAUAAUGCCUGCUGCCUAUAGGACCCAGUUUGGUCUCCAAGAACCAAGCUUCCACCAACAAACUAUGUUGAUAUCAUUGAUCCAUGCUUCUCUCACAACCAUGAUAUGUCUGCUCUCCAGGAGUCUGUUGAUUAACAUCUUUAUAUUCCAUGGUUGAUAUUGCCUCCAGAAACCUUGUUUAUGUCUAUGAUUUGCACUCUACUGGCUACCACUUUGAUGUCUAUGAUUCAAUCUGUCAAGAGAAACUGUCUUGAUGUCAGUGAUCCUUGUUGCUUCAGGGGACUUUUUGAUGUCCAUUGACUGUGCUGUCACAUUUAACAAUGUUUAUGUCCAUGAUCUCUGCUGCCACUGAGGUCUAGGCUAAUGCCUGUAAUCUGAACUUCCACCCAAAACGUUGUUUUUUUUUUGUUUUUUUUUAAAGAUUUAAUUUAUUAUAUAUAAGUACACUGUAGCUGUCGUCAGAGACACCAGAAGAGGGCAUCAGAUCUCAUUACAGAUGGUUGUGAGCUACCAUGUGGUUGCUGGGAUUUGAACUCAGGACCUCCGGAAGAACAGUCAGUGCUCUUAACCGCUGAGCCAUCUCUCCAGCCCCCCAAAACCUUGUUGAUGCCAUUGUUCUAUGCUUGAACUGGAGAUUAUGCCCAUGAUCCAAGCUAAUACCUGCAUCUAAGUUGAUAUCUGUGAUCUCUUCUGCUACUGUGAAGCAGGAUUCCUGGUGAUUCCACCUGCCAACUGAGCAUAUUUUGAUGUCACCAAUCUAUGCUUCUUCUGGUAACUAAGAUGAUAUCCAUAGUCUAUAUUGCAAGUCCAUAUCAGAGAAUUUGUUGAUAUUCAAGAUUCUUGUUGCUGCUUAAGACUAUGUUGAAGUCCAUGGCCCAUACUGCUAUCCAAGAAUGUAUUGUUAUAAGACUUCUGUGGUCCCACUGUGGACCAUGUUGAUCUCCAUGGUCUAUGUUACCUCCUGAGAACUUGGUAAUAUAUGUAAUCCGUGCUUCUGCCAGAACCCAUGUUUAUAUCAAUGAUCCUUGCUGCUUCUGGGGACCAGAUUGAUUUCCCUGAUUCAAGCAGCUACCUAAAACACUGUUGACUUCACCGAUCAGUCCUGCCACUGGUAACUAUGUUGAUCUUAAUAGUUCAUGUUGCCACCAGAGAUCUUGAUGUCGAUGAACCUGUUGCCAUGAGAGAACUUGUUGAUGUCCAUUUUCUGUACUGCUGCCAGGGACAAGUUAGAAGACCAUAGUGUCUGCUGCUGAUGGAGACUGUGUUGAUUUCUAUGGUCUGCAUUGUCACCUGAGAGUAUGUUGAUGAUAGUGCUCUGUGCAUCACCUGGAACCAUGUUGAUGUUUGUGAACCAUGAAGCUGCAAGGAACAGAUUGAAAUCAGUUAUCUGAGCUAUGACCAGGAUAUAUUAAUGGUUAUGGCCCAUGAUGUCACUGGGAAAUUCUUUUGAAAUGUUAUCGAUGACUGCAAAUUCAUAACUAAGAGAGACAUUUAAGACUUCUCUUACAGCUCUCACCCCCUCCAAAGAGAAUGAAUCCACUAUUGAAAAGAGUGUUUAUAAAUUUUGAUAAGGUUGCUAAAGUGUAGUUAUUCAUAGCAGCUUGCUUUUGGUGGGGGUUGAUGGAAGAACUAUUUUUAUAAGGAGUUUGGCAUUACAAGUUUGGCUAUGCUCCAAUGAGUAUAUAGACAACACAAAUUGGACUUGAAGUUUUUCUUUUUACUUUUCUUCCUUUGGGGCUGUGGAAUGCAUGGUGGCAGGAGGGUGGACCUGGGAGUUUGUAUAAUUAAUAAAAAUAUUAUAUUGGAAAAAAUUUAAAAAUAAAAUACUAUG